AGAGUUUGAUCCUGGCUCAGGACGAACGCUGGCGGCGUGCUUAACACAUGCAAGUGGAGCGACGAACCAGGGCUUGCCCUGGGGCAGAGCCGCGAACGGGUGAGUAACACGUGGGCUACCUGCCCCGAUGACCGGGACAACCCGAGGAAACUCGGGCUAAUACCGGAUGUGGUCUUCGGACGAAAGGAAGCUUCGGCCUCCGCAUCGGGAUGGGCCCGCGGCGCAUUAGCUUGUUGGUGGGGUAACGGCCUACCAAGGCUUCGAUGCGUAGCUGGUCUGAGAGGACGAUCAGCCACGCUGGGACUGAGACACGGCCCAGACUCCUACGGGAGGCAGCAGUGGGGAAUCUUGCGCAAUGCGCGAAAGCGUGACGCAGCAACGCCGCGUGGGGGAAGACGGCCUUCGGGUUGUAAACCUCUUUCAGUUGGGACGAGGGCCAUCCGGUUAAUAGCCGGCUUGGUUGACGGUACCUUCAGAAGAAGCCCCGGCUAACUACGUGCCAGCAGCCGCGGUAAUACGUAGGGGGCAAGCGUUGUCCGGAAUCAUUGGGCGUAAAGAGCGUGUAGGCGGCCCGAUAAGUUCGCUGUGAAAGUCCAGGGCUCAACCCUGGAAUGCCUGUGGAUACUGUCGGGCUCGAGUCCCGAAAAGGUGAGUGGAAUUCCUGGUGUANCGGUGAAAUCCCCAGAUAUCAGGAGGAACCCCCAUGGCAAAGGCAUCUCAUAUGGGACNGUACUGACGCUGAAACACNACAGCGNUGGGGAACCAACCGG
rnacentral:rRNA from 1 species